rnacentral:tRNA from 1 species
GUCUCUGUGGCGCAAUUGGUUAGCGCGUUCGGCUUAACCGAAAGGAUGGUGGUUCGAGCCCACCCAGGGACG